rnacentral:rRNA from 1 species
UACGUAGGGUCCGAGGCGUUGUCCGGAAUUAUUGGGCGUAAAGGGCUCGUAGGCGGUUUGUCGCGUCGGGAGUGAAACCAGGUGCUUAACACCUGGCCUGCUUUCGAUACGGGCAGGACUAGAGGCAUUCGAGGGGAGAACGGGAAUUCCGUGGAUUCUGAGCGGUGGAAAUGACGCAGAUAUCAGGAGGAACACCGGUGGCGAAGGCGGUUCUCUGGGAAUGAUCCUGACGCUGGAGGAGCGAAAGUGUGGGGAGGCGAACAGG